rnacentral:lncRNA from 13 species
UGACUCCAUGGUGAAGCAUGAGUCCGUAUCCAAUAAUCAGAAGAUGAUGUCCAACUUGUGUUUUUCUAGGUACUUGCUUAUCCACUAGGUGGCAGUGACGAUCUGCAGAGAGAAGUGCUGAAGCGCACAACUAGUAGUGAUUGCAAAUAGGCUGCAUUUAGCGCUCAAGCUCUUGAGUUGUAUAGUGCUCUGCAGCAUUGGGACACAGCCUUGGAGCUAUACGCCGUCUGAGCAUCACUUCUACCAAAAGACAAUACUGCCUUCUCAAGAAAUUAUUGCAAAAAGACCUGCACUAGAAGUACAUUGACAUUCAGGAGAGGUUUUGGAGCUGACGAGGACAACAUGAAUUGCUUCUGGAUACACACAAUUUGGAUCCCGGGAUUCUUUUUCUUCUUUGGAUUUCAAGACAGGUCUGAAAAGGAUCUCAUGGCACUCUGGCUUAUCAUGGCACAGAUCAAGAAAGAGAGGGAAAGCUCUCACAAAGGCACAACUACCGGGAGAGAGAAGCGGCAGCUCUGGGUCAGCCUGGCUCCGAUGAUGGACUCCCCUUAUCUGCUUUUCCUCAAUAGCUACUACAUCAGUUUAGACAGCCCUCCGAAAGUACUUCCAUUGUUGUCUUCAGAUGUAAGGAAGAGCCUCUACAGGGCCUUUGCAAUAAAAUAUUCUAUAAUAUUAGCCAGACAGAUUCAGUGAAAGGAACACUAAGUGACUUCCAUGGGUGGAGGAAUGAUUGAGAUGACAGCAACAUUAUUACUGUGUGAGAGACCCAUUGUUUCACCAUGAGAAAAACUAUUAUAUUUUGAUUGCAAUUGAUAGGAGGAUUAGAACAAAAAGCCUUGGAGAUGGGAUGAUAAACAUUUUUUUUUUCUACAUUGACGAGAAUAGCUGUCCAAGGCCCUAUAUAUUGGCAAGAGAUAAAAAUCCAUUAUCGAUACUCAAUAUUGCUCUCCAUAUAUUGGCUCUUAAAGUAAAGAAGCUUUGUGUGUGUGUGUGUGUGUGUGUGUGUGUGUGUGUGUGUGUGUGUGUGUGUGUGUGUNNNNNNNNNNNNNNNNNNNNNNNNNNNNNNNNNNNNNNNCAAUGAUAAUCAAGUAGAUUUUUAAUUGUACAUUUAACUACAAUGUGAUU